AGAUAGGGUUUCACUAUGUAGCCCAGGGUGACCCGGGUCUCGCUAUGUAGACCAAGCUGGCCUCAAGCUCACAGGGAUUAGUCUACCUCUGACUUUGAGUAGUGAGAUCAAGGGCAACUCCUGCCUAAGUGUUUCUUGUAGCAGGUUCAGAGUUUCUAAUCUUACAUUUCAGAUGUUGAUCCAUUUUGAGAUGAUGUUUAUACAAGAGGAGAGAUAGAAGUCCAAGAAUGAUAUCUGGAAAUUGUCCUUUCUCCAAGGUCAGGCUAUCACCGGUGAGAAGGAAGUCUGUGGUUUCCACCCAAGUCUCCUGACCUAUCAGGACUGAAUUCAUGCAGCGGAAACAGAACUGUGCUUCUGUGAACUACACAAGUGACUUCCAUGUAUAAUAUUUGCUUUGGGCCUGAGGAUACAGUGAGGGUUGGAAAGUGAAAGAUCCAAUAAAUCACAUUCUUGUGUUUUCCCUG